rnacentral:rRNA from 1 species
UGGGGAAUAUUGCGCAAUGGGGGAACCCUGACGCAGCCAUGCCGCGUGAAUGAAGAAGGCCUUAGGGUUGUAAAGUUCUUUCGGUAUUGAGGAAGGUUGAUGUGUUAAUAGCACAUCAAAUUGACGUUAAAUACAGAAGAAGCACCGGCUAACUCCGUGCCAGCAGCCGCGGUAAUACGGAGGGUGCGAGCGUUAAUCGGAAUAACUGGGCGUAAAGGGCACGCAGGCGGUUAUUUAAGUGAGGUGUGAAAGCCCCGGGCUUAACCUGGGAAUUGCAUUUCAGACUGGGUAACUAGAGUACUUUAGGGAGGGGUAGAAUUCCACGUGUAGCGGUGAAAUGCGUAGAGAUGUGGAGGAAUACCGAAGGCGAAGGCAGCCCCUUGGGAAUGUACUGACGCUCAUGUGCGAAAGCGUGGGGAGCAAACAGGAUUAGAUACCCUGGUAGUCCACGCUGUAAACGCUGUCGAUUUGGGGGUUGGGGUUUAACUCUGGCGCCCGUAGCUAACGUGAUAAAUCGACCGCCUGGGGAGUACGGCCGCAAGGUU